rnacentral:piRNA from 1 species
UAACCAAGGAGAGAGGAAACUGU